rnacentral:rRNA from 1 species
UACGUAGGGGGCUAGCGUUGUCCGGAAUCAUUGGGCGUAAAGCGCGUGUAGGCGGUCCGGUAAGUCCGCUGUGAAAGUCGGGGGCUCAACCCUCGAAUGCCGGUGGAUACUGUCAGACUAGAGUACGGAAGAGGCGAGUGGAAUUCCUGGUGUAGCGGUGAAAUGCGCAGACUAUCAGGAGGAACACCCAUUGCGAAGGCAGCUCGCUGGGACGUUACUGACGCUGGAGACGCGAA